ensembl:snRNA U6 U6 spliceosomal RNA
GUGCUCACUCUGGCAGCGCAUAUACUAAAACUGGAACCAUACAGAGAAGAUUAGCACGGUCCCUGCGCAAGGAUGGCAUGCAAAUUUGUGAAGCACUCCAUUAUUUU